UACGUAGGGGGCUAGCGUUGUCCGGAAUCAUUGGGCGUAAAGAGCGUGUAGGCGGUUCGGUAAGUCCGCUGGGAAAGUCCAGGGCUCAACCCUGGAAUGCCGGUGGAUACUGUCGGGCUAGAGUCCGGAAGAGGCGAGUGGAAUUCCUGGUGUAGCGGUGAAAUGCGCAGAUAUCAGGAGGAACACCGGCGGCGAAGGCGGGUCUCUGGGCCAUAACUGACGCUGAGGAGCGAAAGCGUGGGGAGCGAACAGG
rnacentral:rRNA from 1 species